rnacentral:rRNA from 1 species
UACGGGGGGGGCAAGCGUUGUUCGGAAUUACUGGGCGUAAAGGGCGCGUAGGCGGCCUGCUAAGUCGGAUGUGAAAUCCCUCGGCUCAACCGAGGAACUGCAUCCGAUACUGGCGGGCUUGAAUCCGGGAGAGGGAUGUGGAAUUCCAGGUGUAGCGGUGAAAUGCGUAGAUAUCUGGAGGAACACCGGUGGCGAAGGCGGCAUUCUGGACCGAUAUUGACGCUGAGGAGCGAAAGCCAGGGGAGCAAACGGG